UACGAAGGGACCUAGCGUAGUUCGGAAUUACUGGGCUUAAAGAGUUCGUAGGUGGUUGAAAAAGUUGGUGGUGAAAUCCCAGAGCUUAACUCUGGAACUGCCAUCAAAACUUUUCAGCUAGAGUAUGAUAGAGGAAAGCGGAAUUUCUAGUGUAGAGGUGAAAUUCGUAGAUAUUAGAAAGAAUACCAAUUGCGAAGGCAGCUUUCUGGAUCAUUACUGACACUGAGGAACGAAAGCAUGGGUAGCGAAGAGGAUUAGAUACCCUCGUAGUCCAUGCCGUAAACGAUGUGUGUUAGACGUUGGAAAUUUAUUUUCAGUGUCGCAGCGAAAGCGAUAAACACACCGCCUGGGGAGUACGACCGCAAGGUUAAAACUCAAAUGAAUUGACGGGGACCCGCACAAGUAGUGGAGCAUGUGGUUUAAUUCGAAGAUACGCGCAGAACCUUACCAACACUUGACAUGUUCGUCGCGACUCUAAGAGAUUAGAGUUUUCGGUUCGGCCGGACGAAACACAGGUGCUGCAUGGCUGUCGUCAGCUCGUGUCGUGAGAUGUUGGGUUAAGUCCCGCAACGAGCGCAACCCUCACUUUUAGUUGCCAUCAUUAAGUUGGGCACUCUGAAAGAACUGCCAGUGAUAAGCUGGAGGAAGGUGGGGAUGACGUCAAGUCCUCAUGGCCCUUACGUGUUGGGCUACACACGUGCUACAAUGGUAUCUACAACAGGAAGCAAGACUGCGAAGUUAAGCAAAUCCCUAAAAGAUACCUCAGUUCGGAUUGCACUCUGCAACUCGAGUGCAUGAAGCUGGAAUUACUAGUAAUCGUGGAUCAGCGUGCCACGGUGAAUGCGUUCCCGGGUCU
rnacentral:rRNA from 1 species